GGUCAGAUGAUGACAGAUUUCCUGCUGAGCCCUCUGGAAUGUUCAGCACUCAGCAACGACAGUCCAGAAGUUUCUGUUUCCCUGGAAGGCUCUGAAAGGAAAGUUCUAGAUAAAGACUCCUGGUUUUGUUUUUGUCCUCUCUCACCCUGCCUAUUCUAGGGCCUCCACUGGGGUGGAACAAUGGCUCUGAGACCCUCGGCCACUUCCUGUCUUGAAUCUCGCUCGCAUUGGCAUUGAAGAAGCCCUCAUCUUAGGUUUCACAGACGAACGGCAAGGCACACUCGUCUCCGAGACCCCUAGUUUUCAGUUACACGCAAAGCAUCACUACAUUCUACAGACGAGGAGACUGAAGCCGGGAGAAAGUUGACUCUGGCCUGGGAACUAGUGGCGUUGGUUCCCAAACCCAUACCUUUAGCCUCCCCAUCCUUGCCACGCCCUUCAGUUUCCAACAAUGCCGCAAGAGGGAGUGUUAGGUGACAGGAAACAGGGGAACAUAGCUUGGUUUUGAGCUUUUCAUCCAGGUACGACAAAACCUUCCUCUGUGGUGGAGCAAAGGUUGCUGUGGUGACCAGCAGACCCCUGAUGCCUUAUCCCUGUAGCCGCAGCCAUGAAGUCAGCAGACAUAGAGACAGCCAGAAGGAAGGGAGACUGAAAGCAGAACUCCAUGACACGAUUCAUGAGGCCAUCCCUCGGAGAUGUGGGGCUUUUGCGUGACACAGCUUUCUGACUCAUCCAUGCCUAGCAAAGAGCAGUGAACUAGAGCUGGAUCCCUGGUGCUCAGCUGCCUCUCUGCAUACAGAGCCCCAGUCCUGCCCCGUGGAGAUGCAAACUUGAAGUAUUCCAGGAAUCUCACAAACCAGACUAUGAGAGAGAGACCCUGUAUACAAUGAAAAUAUGUCUCAGCUUCCUUGAGUCACCGUGUGACCCAUGCUCCUCCUCAGCACACUCCAGAACCUGCCCUGUCAUCUUCACGGCUCUUAUCAAACAUCUAAGACUUCAUAAGCCCUCCAGGUCAUGUACACUCGGCCACUGGAAGAACACCGAGGCGGAUGUUCCCUCCUGAAGAGCCCUCAUGGCACACGGGUGUGUUCUGUGGAUUUCCUCAGCACGCCCCACCCCCUCUCUUUCUCCACCCAUGUCCCUGCCCCAUCUCUCUCUCUGUCUCACCUCUCAACUCUGUGGUUUUCUUGGAUGUUGGGGAGGCAGCUCAGCAUGUAUGAAGCCCUGGGUUCAAGAUCCAACAACAUGUAAGCCAGUCAGUCACAGCAGCACGUUUGUAAUCCCAACACCCAGGGAGGCUGAAGCAGGAGGAUCCCCAUGCAUUUGGGGCUACCCUGAAUCAGACAAAGGCUCAGCAUGGUGACACACAUCUUUGAUCUCAGCACCAGGGAGGCAGAAGCAGAAAGACCUCUGAGUUUGAGGCCAGCCUGAUCUACACAGUAAGUUUUAGGACAGCUAGGGCUGCAUAAUGAGACCCUGUCUCAACAAAACCAAACCAAACCAAAAAAUAAAACAAAAACCGCCCCAAAAGAUAAAUGGUGAGUGAGCAGUUACUUCAGAAGAAACCUUACCCCGAGUUCAAACCCCAGAUUUGAGAUAAAGUGGAAAGAAUGGGC